AACUGCUGUAUGGACGCCCCUCAAGUCCCCACCCAGUCUCCAACAGUGACCAAACAUUUCACCCUUGCGUGCGGGCAUAGAAAUCCUCCUGCCAUUGCCCCGGCUUAGACUUGCCAUGUCAUUUCCUGAGAAAAACAUACUUGAAACACACCCUUGGAAUGGACUAGGCAGACAUAUAUAGAUUUUCCUGGUCUUACUAACCGCUCAAAUGUGCUUAUCACCCAUCAUUUCCCUCAGAUUACUACUAUCAAGCUGAAAAUGUGUUGCUGAUUACUUGCAAGGUUAUUGGGUCUGCUUGUUUUUCAAAAUGAACUGCCUGUGAAAGUGAACUGCACAGCUUAGGGGCACGUCCUUCCACAAUAACUGACACACUUUGACAUUAUAACAGCUGGCUGUGGAAAGGAACCCAUUUAUGACUGUAGUUUCAAGGGAUUAUGGCACGGAAAGUAAAUAUCUUUGAUAUCUUAAAUACAUGAAAAGGGAAAACAAAUAAAGGGUACUGAGAUAUUUAUAUAGAAUACAAGCGUUUUAUUGUCACUGCAUGUGUAAAAAUAAUGUCAUCUCUCUUGCAUGAAAGAAAGUUGGAUUCCACACAUGUCCAAUAAAUGAAAAAAGCAAUACGUAAUAUUAUGACAAGGAAAAUUAGAAGACUUUUUCAAGAGUUAGAGCAGCAACAAAGGCCACCUUAUUGCCAUUUUACCCUUUCCCCUGUAUGUUUGUGUCACCCAGGGGGUAGGUUAAUUUCUACCAGGGACAGCUGUGCCUGUUGACAUUUAAUAGGAGAUCAGCGAACUCUCCAUAUGUGCGUCUGUGUGCAUGACUAUGUGGCUCUCUGCCUGCCACCAGCCCUCACAGAAAAAGUGAACCAUCAAACUUUUAAAGUGCUUAAGGAACUCCCUUCCUAUACUGAGAAAAAGAUCUAAUUUUAUUCACACAGGAAAGAAAAAGAAGAAACGACUCCCUGGCAUCAAGGUGAUUCUGAGCUUCUUCGUAUGAAUAUCGGGAGAAAAAAAACCAAAACCAAAAACCCCACAGACGGGUCACUUGCUAAAUUUUGAAAGGAAAGCGGCCUGUAGAUAUAACCUGGAGAGAAGAGGCCGAGAACCGACAGACAGGAAAAAAAUUUCUUUCAAGUGCGUCACUGGGUAUUUCCGCACUGUUUUGAGUGGGUGGUGGCAAGUUGCACUGCAGAGAGAAGGCAGAGGUCUGCAACUGGAUCAAGCUAGCCACAGCGCCGGAAACGACGCAAUUUUCCCUCUUCAAAAUAAGAGCAUGUAGUUUCUUAUGAGCAAUUGCUUGUCCCUUGCAAAGAGACCAAAGUCUUAAAAUAAGUAACGCACAAUUGGCAUACACUACUCCUAUUACACCACAGUUCUGCUAUACUAAUGUGAUUAUAGUAAUUAUUAUUAUGGCACAACAAAAGCGUGAAAACCAUGAAAACAAACUAUUGAUAAUUUUGGACUUGGUAAAGGCAGUAAUGUAUGCUUUAAAAAUAAAAAAUAAACCAAGCUAUUGUUCUCUUCACAGCUAUUUCCGUUAUCUUGGAAAUUACCCCCCGAAAAAAAAAAUCUGCCAUGUUUUGAUUUUGUGAGUUCACUACAAAUUUGAUUCAUUUAUUUAACAUUUAGUGAUAAAGCUAAUAGCUGCCUACGUAGUAAAUAAAAGGUGUUAUCCAAUUUCAGAUUCUGCAUUUCUAAUAAACGUGGCACAAAAACAAUGCCUACUAUGUGAGAAAAAGACAUCGCAAUGAAGAGAACAAAGCACGUACUGUGCAGUUGCUGCAACUUGGCGACAGGUGUGUUGCACAAAAAAUAAACAGAAAGUUGCAACA